GGCUCAGGACGAACGCUGGCGGCGUGCCUAAUACAUGCAAGUCGAACGGUCUUUCUAUGGAAGCUUGCUUCCACUGAGAAGAUAGUGGCGAACGGGUGAGUAACACGUGGGUAACCUGCCCAUAAGAGGGGGAUAACAUCCGGAAACGGGUGCUAAUACCGCAUAGUUUUCUUGAUUGCAUGAUUGAGAAAGGAAAGACGGCCUUUGUGCUGUCGCUUAUGGAUGGACCCGCGGCGUAUUAGUUAGUUGGUGAGGUAACGGCUCACCAAGACGAUGAUACGUAGCCGACCUGAGAGGGCGAUCGGCCACAUUGGGACUGAGACACGGCCCAAACUCCUACGGGAGGCAGCAGUAGGGAAUCUUCCGCAAUGGACGAAAGUCUGACGGAGCAACGCCGCGUGAGUGAAAGAAGGUUUUCGGAUCGUAAAACUCUGUUGUCAGAGAAGAACAAGUUGGAGAGUAACUGCUCCAGCCUUGACGGUAUCUGACCAGAAAGCCACGGCUAACUACGUGCCAGCCGCGGC
rnacentral:rRNA from 1 species